rnacentral:lncRNA from 1 species
GAUAGAAAAACCAGAACCCCCUCCCCAUCAAAACCUAGCCUCCACAUGGUCCCCUACGUUCAACAAACGGAUUCUCCUCCUUUGACCUUAGAGAAAACCAAACGACCCCGCUUCUCUUUCCCUAAUUAAAAUGGUGGACAGAAACCCCUCCCCCCAUGGCUGAACCCCGCCGCCAGACCAGAUCCCUUCCCCCAUAGCAAAAAACUCUAGGUCCCCUAACUCUCUCUCUUUGAACAACAGAAAUGGCAGAGACCAUCCCCCCAUUUUGAAAACCCUAAGUCACCUCUUCUUUUCUCUUCUCCAUCUUCUCCAGAAACCCUUUCCUCCACCCAGAAAUCCGACCAGCCGAGUAGAAAACAGACCCCCAUUUGAAAACCCUAGCCGUCGUCGGACUUCUCUUUGUCCUCUCCAAUCUCCUGGAUAUCCAUAUACACAUUACAUAUAUCGAAACCACAAUGGUUGUGAAGUUUUAGGACCCCGGAUCCGAGCUUCAAAAUUUUAUAAGAAAAACUAAAGUAAAAAAGAGAUACUGAAGCUGUUCUUAAAUACCAGCAUGUUUUAUUCAUAUUUCAUGGUAUUUAGAAGGACAUUCAAGUUGUUUUUGCUAUUAUUUCUGUUGUCACAGCUGAAUAUCAACAAUUAGGAAUUCCAGAUCUUUAUUUUGUCUUAACCGUUUUUCCUUCUUUAUGUGUGUAGUUUCUCAUCUGUUACAUUUAUUUUGAGUUUAUAAAUGAAAAAUUGCUAUGUUCCUGCUGAGUUCUUGUCUGAUUUAGAUCUGGAUUGCCUAAAUUUUGAAUUUCUAUUUGCUUUUCUUCUUCUUGUAAAUAGCUUAUGCUCAAUAUGUUUUCUAGUAAAGGACUCAAGUUUUUAGUUGCAUACCACUCAGAGUUUAAUAAUAUGAAAGUUUGUUUGGCGGAUUUAUGAAUCUUUCUAGGCUGGCUGAAACACAUUUGAUUUCAUUUGUAUUAGAGGCCGUAUCUCACAAAUUUAGAACACUAUUCCAGUCUUUUGAAUCAUUAUAGAGGCCGCAGGAUUUUGGGAUUCAUCUUAUAGUGGCCUGAUGGUUCAU